UCGAUUUUCUUGACUAAACUCUUCCAGGCAUGCCCAAUGACUGAGAAAAGUAAAAGAUGAAAAACAAAAUAAAAUUUCAAAAUUUAAAAAAAAAAAAAAAAUCAUUAUCGUUGUUUACAUUGUCUGCUUUCAGAUGAGAUUUGCUGAGACAGAAUUUCUAUGAUUAGAUGCUCUUCCUGCCACCUACCUUUAACCUGUUUCCAAACGUUCCUCAAAAUGCAGUGAAUCUUCGUAAAUGGGUGUGGUCUUAAGAAUAUAUACGAAAGAGAAAGCAAAAGAAAAAGGAGUGAGAAAGCUAAACGAGAAAGGACAUAUGAAGAGAUAAUGAUAGAAAGAAAGAAUGACUGCGAAGGAGAGGAAUAAGUAAGAGGUCUAUGACCUUCACAACUGUAUAUUUUGUUGCAUCUGUGUUUGUAUGAAUCUCUGAAAGGUAAGAGCAUAAGGACACCAACUUUAAAACUAUGACAAUUCUUCUUCAAGCAGCUGCAACCAAAAUAGAUGUAAUUACAUUUUGAUCUGGAAGGAAAAGAAAAUGGUUUUCCAAAUUUUUUUAAAUUUCAAAAUUGUGUA